AACGAACGCUGGCGGCAUGCCUAACACAUGCAAGUCGAACGAGACCUUCGGGUCUAGUGGCGUACGGGUGCGUAACGCGUGGGAACCUGCCCUUAGGUUCGGAAUAACUCUCCGAAAGGGGUGCUAAUACCGGAUAAUGUCUUCGGACCAAAGAUUUAUCGCCUUUGGAUGGGCCCGCGUUGGAUUAGCUAGUUGGUAGGGUAAAAGCUUACCAAGGCGACGAUCCAUAGCUGGUCUGAGAGGAUGAUCAGCCACACUGGGACUGGGACACGGCCCAGACUCCUACGGGAGGCAGCAGUGGGGAAUAUUGGACAAUGGGCGAAAGCCUGAUCCAGCAAUGCCGCGUGAGUGAUGAAGGCCUUAGGGUUGUAAAGCUCUUUUACCCGGGAUGAUAAUGACAGUACCGGGAGAAUAAGCUCCGGCUAACUCCGUG
rnacentral:rRNA from 1 species